CCCUUAGAUGUUCGGAGCUGCACGCGCGCUACACUGAAGGAAGCAGCGUGUUAGAGCGCCUGGCUUGAAAGAGCUGGGUAAUCCGGUGAAUGUCCUUCGUGAUUGGGAUAGGGACUUGUAAUUAUUUCCCUUGAACGAGGAAUACCUAGUAAGUGCGAGUCAUCAGCUUGCGCUGACUACGUCCCUGCCCCUUGUACACACCGCCCGUCGCUACUACUGAUUGGAUGUUUAAGCGAGGUUCUCGAACUGCUAGCGACUUAGCUUCGGUGAGGUCGCAGUGUGGGAAGUGAACCUAGCUUUGGUGUCUAGAGGAAGUAAAAGUCGUAACA
rnacentral:rRNA from 1 species